rnacentral:rRNA from 1 species
UACAGAGGGUGCGAGCGUUAAUCGGAAUUACUGGGCGUAAAGCGCACGUAGUCGGCUUUGCAAGUCGGUUGUGAAAUCCCCGGGCUCAACCUGGGAACUGCAUCCGAGACUGCAUUGCUAGAGUAUGGGAGAGGAAAGCGGAAUUUCUGGUGUAGCAGUGAAAUGCGUAGAUAUCAGAAGGAAACAUCAGUGGCGAAAGGCGGCUUUCUUGG